rnacentral:rRNA from 1 species
UACGGAGGGUGCGAGCGUUAUCCGGAAUUACUGGGUUUAAAGGGUGCGUAGGCGGCCAUGUAAGUCAGGAGUGAAAGUUUGCGGCUCAACCGUAAAAUUGCUUUUGAUACUGCAUGGCUGGAAUCAGGAUGAGGUCAGCGGAAUGUGGCAUGUAGCGGUGAAAUGCAUAGAUAUGCCAUAGAACACCAAUUGCGAAGGCAGCUGGCUAGACCUGUAUUGGCGCUGAGGCACGAAAGCGUGGGGAGCGAACAGG